rnacentral:tRNA from 1 species
UCCCUGGUGGUCCAGUGGUUAGGACUCAACACUUUCACUGCUGUUGCCUUGGUUUAAUCCCUGGUUGGGAAA